rnacentral:rRNA from 1 species
GACGAACGCUGGCGGCGUGCCUAAUACAUGCAAGUCGACCUUAGUGGCGAACGGGUGAGUAACACCUGGGUAACCUGCCCAUCAGACGGGGAUAACACUUGGAAACAGGUGCUAAUACCGUAUACUGAUGUAUGGACCCGCGGUGCAGUAGCUAGUUGGGGAGGUAAAGGCUCACCAAGGCCACGAUGCAUAGACGACCUGAGAGGGGGAUCAGCCACAUUGGGACUUAGACACGGACCAAACUCCUACGGGAGGCCGCAGUCGGGAAGCUGCGGCAAUGGACGAAAGUCUGACCCAGCAACGCCGCGUGAGUGAAGAAGGUUUUCGGAUCGUAAAACUCUGUUGUUAGAGAAGCGGUAUCUAACCAGAAAGCCACGGCUAACUACGUGCCAGCAGCCGCGGUAAUUC